UACGGGGGGUGCAAACGUUGCUCGGAAUUAUUGGGCGUAAAGCGCACGUAGGCGGUCUUGUAAGUCGGGUGUGAAAGCCCGGGGCUUAACCCCGGAAGUGCACUCGAAACUGCAAGGCUUGAGUAUGGAAGAGGGUCUCGGAAUUCCCGGUGUAGAGGUGAAAUUCGUAGAUAUCGGGAGGAACACCAGUGGCGAAGGCGGAGACCUGGGCCAAUACUGACGCUGAGGUGCGAAAGCGUGGGGAGCGAACAGG
rnacentral:rRNA from 1 species